GACGAACGCUGGCGGCGUGCUUAACACAUACAAGUCGAACGGUAAGGCCCUUCGGGGUACACGAGUGGCGAACGGGUGAGUAACACGUGGGUGAUCUGCCCUGCACUUCGGGAUAAGCCUGGGAAACUGGGUCUAAUACCGGAUAGGACCACUGCCUGCAUGGGUGGUGGUGGAAAGCUUUUGCGGUGUGGGAUGGGUCCGCGGCCUAUCAGCUUGUUGGUGGGGUGAUGGCCUACCAAGGCGACGACGGGUAGCCGGCCUGAGAGGGUGACCGGCCACACUGGGACUGAGAUACGGCCCAGACUCCUACGGGAGGCAGCAGUGGGGAAUAUUGCACAAUGGGCGCAAGCCUGAUGCAGCGACGCCGCGUGAGGGAUGACGGCCUUCGGGUUGUAAACCUCUUUCAGCACCGACGAAGCGCAAGUGACGGUAGGUGCAGAAGAAGGACCGGCCAACUACGUGCCAGCAGCCGCCGUAA
rnacentral:rRNA from 1 species